CUACUUUUCCCAUGAAGCUCAGCUCGUCGCUUCCGUGACGUCGUUUGUCCACGUGAGCUUCAUUCAGCUGAGCGCUGCAGAGAUGAAUGGCUGGGGGGGUGGAAGAUGGAAACGCUGGAAAAAUGGAGCAGAGACAUCAUGGAACCUCAUCAGCUGGAUAAGAAAGAGCAGUCCAAACAAAAUGGCAUGAUUGCAAAAUAUCUGCUCAACUCUCUCAAGAUUAGCAAUCGUUUGCAGCUCCAGCUAAUUUCUCGUUCAGCAUGUGCCACUGGCUCCUGUCCAGAUCUGAUGCAUAGGAACGAGCAGCCUGACUCCCGGCCGCUUGCCAUGGCCUUGACACCCCAGCUACCCCCCAGGACCCAUCGGCCCCUGUGUCUCUCAGUGUCCUCUGACAGCAGUGGACGCUUCAAAGCUCUGGAGACCCAGGAAUGGAAGAACAACCUCAAAGCUCAGAUGGAGCAGGCCCAUAGUGCCGGAGCAGCCAGCAGUACAGGUUCCCUUGAAAGAGCGUCUCUCUUUUGUGCUUCUGGCUCCACCACCCCCUCCAGCUCUGGCCUCUCCAGUCCGGUGGAGCACCUCACCAAGAGCAAGUCCUCUAGUCGCUUUUCACUCUUCUCCCCACCUUGGAACAGCAGCUCUGAGUCCGACUCCAAUCCACCUUCCCGCUCCGGAUCCAAGAAAAUGCACAACUACAGUCGCAGAGCCGGUCCCGGCAGUGCCAAAACGGGCCCAGAGACUCCAGAACCCAAGCAGAGCAUCCCUGAGCACUUCCAGUACUCAGAUCCGGUCAUAUCCAAGGUUACAGACUACAUUUAUGUGGGGAACCUGAACGCGGCUUAUAGUGGACGUACGUUGUGCCGUAAUAACAUCGACAGCAUCAUCGACAUGAGCAGCCUACCCGGGGAGACUUGUUUGAGAGUCAUUCCUUGCACUUGUUCAAGGGGUGUAAAGCAUAGUUGGUCUCGGCUCAAAGUAGACAUGACCGACCUUCCGGACACUGUCCAAGAAGGGCUGGCACUCAAGCACCGCUGCUUUGAGGACAUCAAUGAGUGCAUCGAUGCCUCCACGGAGAAGAGGAAGCGAGUGUUAGUGCAUUGUCGUGAUGGUUUUUCCCUUGCCCCCACUUGCAUUAUUCAGUACCUCAUGGUAAAACAAAAUAUGAGGCUUAUAGCUGCCUACGAGCUGCUCCGAGCCAGACACCCUGUAAACAUUCGAGAUUCCCAUCAAAACGUUCUGGUAAGUCUGGAAAGAGCUCUGAGACCGGGUGGGAACACGAAUCCAGAGUGCUUUAAACAGGCCAUCUCCCGCAAAGUGGCUUGGACCUGAUAGCGAACCUUGGGGGGCCCCCCUUCCCUUCCCUUCCCUUCCCUUCCCUUCCCUUCCCUUCCCUUCCCUUCCCUUCCCCCUCCCUCCCCUCCCUCCCUCCCCUCCCC
ensembl:lncRNA